rnacentral:rRNA from 1 species
UAAACUAGGAUUAGAUACCCUAUUAUUUUAAAUGUAAAUUUAUUAUGCUAAAUUAGUAUUAGUUAUGUUCUUGAAAAUUAAAAAAUUUGGCGGUAUUUUAGUCUUUUCAGAGGAACCUGCCCUGUAAUUGAUAAUCCACGAUUAAAAAAACUUUAUUUAUUAGUUUACAUAUCGUUGUAGUUUGAAUAUUUUAAUAGAAAGUUAAUGUUCAAAAUUUUUUAUCAGAAAAAAAAAUCAGAUCAAGGUGUAGUUUAUAAUAAAGUAGAGGUGGGUUACAUUAAAUUUAUUUUAGGAUAUUUUUUUUUAAAGAAAAUUGAAUAUGGAUUUGAAAGUAAUUUAAUGUAUUUACUUAAAAUGAUUAAAGCUCUAAAAUAUGCACACAUCGCCCGUCGCUCUUAA